AUUGAACGCUGGCGGCAUGCUUUACACAUGCAAGUCGAACGGCAGCGCGGGCUUCGGCCUGGCGGCGAGUGGCGAACGGGUGAGUAAUGCAUCGGAACGUGCCCAGUAGUGGGGGAUAGCCCGGCGAAAGCCGGAUUAAUACCGCAUACGACCUGAGGGUGAAAGCGGGGGACCGAAAGGCCUCGCGCUAUUGGAGCGGCCGAUGUCGGAUUAGCUAGUUGGUGGGGUAAAGGCUUACCAAGGCGACGAUCCGUAGCUGGUCUGAGAGGACGACCAGCCACACUGGGACUGAGACACGGCCCUGACUCCUACGGGAGGCAGCAGUGGGGAAUUUUGGACAAUGGGGGCAACCCUGAUCCAGCCAUGCCGCGUGCGGGAAGAAGGCCUUCGGGUUGUAAACCGCUUUUGUUCGGGAAGAAAUCCUCUGGGCUAAUACCCCGGGGGGAUGACGGUACCGGAAGAAUAAGCACCGGCUAACUACGUG
rnacentral:rRNA from 1 species